CCGAGUUUACAACUCCCAAACCAUUGUGAAUUUACCUAUUGUUGCUUCGGCGGGAUCGCCCCGGGCUCUGCUCCGGAAUCAGGCGCCCGCCGGAGGACCGAAACUCUUGUAUUAGUAUGUUUCUCUGAGUGGAUUAUACAAAUAAUCA
rnacentral:misc_RNA from 1 species